rnacentral:lncRNA from 1 species
GCGCCGGGAUGCGCUCUCCUCUUCUCAUUUGCCAAUUUAUUGCAGAUCCCUCCUCAAAAAAGUUUUGGGACUAACUCAGCCCCAUGGAGAUCAAGGUGAAUUAGAAAAACAACAAAACAAAACAAGAUUCAUUUUAACAUCUCAUUUUUCUAUCUCCAACUUUCCCUCCCCUCCUCCCACCCCAGGAAGAAAAGACUACGUUUGUUUCUGGUGAUACAUUCAUUGUAGGUGGGUGGGUGACUUCUAGAAGAGGAAAAUCAAGAAGAUUUGGAGAAGGAGUCUUGGAAGCUCUGGUGAAGUUUUCCAAAACUGGGAAGGACAGAGUCUGCUCAGCCUGUGUUAGUGGAGAAGAGGGAAGGAAACUGGCUGGAGGCCGCUGGACCCACAGAGGACAAUAGACAAUCUCCUGCUGAUGCCCACUGGAUCCAAAGAGAGAAACUCUAUAGAAUUAUGAUCUAGGUUUGACUGACUCCUGGCAAGAAGCCCUACCCGCCAGCCAAUUUGGAUGAGCUCUUAUGCUCCAGAUCCAUCAUGAGAAGAACAUGCCCUGGAUUCCUGCUAUCCCUUUAGCCAUGGCUCCAAAAUUAACACACACAAGGAAGACCUGAGGUCAAUCCACAGCCUGGAUUCAAGUCACCUAAUACAUAGGAGAAUCAGAGCUACCCAGCCACACUCAAUCUACGUUAACUGAACCUCAGCUGACCUGCAGAUUUAUG